rnacentral:rRNA from 1 species
GACGAACGCUGGCGGUGUGCUUAACACAUGCAAGUCGAACGGUGAAGCGCCUUCCUUUUUGGUGGGUGUGGAUGAGUGGCGAACGGGUGAGUAACACGUGAGUAACCUGCCCCCUUCUUCUGGAUAACCGCAUGAAAGUGUGGCUAAUACGGGAUACUCUGGGUCUGUCGCAUGAUGGGUCUGGGAAAGAUAUUGCUUCGGAGGGGGAUGGGCUCGCGGCCUAUCAGCUUGUUGGUGGGGUGAUGGCCUACCAAGGCGGUGACGGGUAGCCGGCCUGAGAGGGUGAACGGUCACACUGGGACUGAGACACGGCCCAGACUCCUGCGGGCGGCAGCAGUGGAGAAUAUUGCACGAUGGGCGCAAGGCUGAUGCAGCGACGCCGCGUGAGAGAUGGAGGCCUUCGGGUUGUGAACCUCUUUCGCCAGUGAAGCAGGCCUGCCUCGUUUGUGGGUGGGUUGACGGUAGCUAGAUAAGAAGCGCCGGCUAACUACGUG